UAGCCUUCUAACUGGCAGCAAUUGGACAAAAACAAUUAUUCCUCUCCCUCUAAUUAGGACUUUAUUUUUCUUUUCUUUUUGUUGUAUGAACGUAGAGGCAUGGAUGAGGGACUGUGCUGCCAAGUUUAGUGCUUCUGGGAUGUGUAGUUUUGUUGUUUUGUCCUAGGACGAAAUUUCAUUACCCUUUUAUAUUUAUAGAUUUAUUUAAUGUGUUGUCGAAGGCAUUCAUGGCCAGGAUCACAAUGUUGUUGUAUGUCUCUCAGGCUGUGUGGCCAUGUUCCAGAAGUAUUCUCUCCUGACGUUUCACCCACAUCUAUGGCAGGCAUCCUCAGAGGUUGUGAGGUAUUUGAUGCCUGCCAUACAUGUGGGCGAAACGUCAGGAGAGAAUGCUUCUGGAACAUGGCCACACAGCCCGAAAGACAUACAACAACCCUAUUUAUUUAUUUAUUUAUUUAUUUACAGUAUUUAUAUUCCGCCCUUCUUUCUCACCCCGAAGGGGACUCAGGGCGGAUCACAUUAUACACACACAGGGCAAACAUUCAAUGCCCAUAUACACAUAGAACCGAGACAGAGACAGACAGACGCAGAGGCAAUUUAACCUUCUUCUGAGGGGAUGUUUGAUUCUGGCCACAGGGGGGAGCAGCUGCUUCAUCAUCCACUCUGACGGCACUUCCUCAUUCCAACGUCGUAAAUUAGUUAAAUUUGCCUCCACACUUUAUAAGUGGUACCUUAUUUCCUACUUGAUAGAUACAACUAUCUUUCGGGUUUCUAGGUCAGCAAUGAGCAGGGGCUAUUUUUUAUUUUAUUUUUAAUUGACGGGUGCUCACCCCGCCACGGGCUGGCCUCGAACUCAUGACCUCAUGGUCAGAGUGAUUUAUUGCAGCAGGCUGCUCACCAGCCUGCGCCACAAUCAUGUUUAACUUGUCUACAAGGACUCUUCAUAAGUGGACCUUCCUCUGCAGGAAUCCCGAGUGGGCAAUUCCAUAACAAGGGCAGUGCCAUGGCCAUGCCGGACCAUGCUUGCCCUUCCUGGGCGCAUGAUGCGUGCAGUCUUGGGCAUCUCAGGGCAGAUGUUUUGAAUGCAACUGGGAGGGCAGUGGGGGCUUUUGGGGGCUGCAAAAUGGGGGUUCACACCGUGCUGUUCUGGACUCUCCUUGUCCAUCUCUCCUUCUUUCGAUCCAUCCUUCCUUCCAUCAGCCUCUCUGGUUCCCAUUCCCAGACCUUCUUGACAGGUCCAUUAAGCACCGGCUCAGCAGCUGCUAUAUUUAGACCUUUCUGGCUGCGGAAAGGCCAUAAAUCCCGCUCCAUUGUCACCCGAAAAAGGAGCCACGCUUCCUUCCGUCCUCUUAUCUGGAGUGGGAUCAAAUGAGGAACGAGGGGGGGCCGGGGAAAGGGAGGGCGAGAGGGACCCCCAAACUGCCCCAUCUUGGCUCUUUCCAGCUUGCAAUGGAGGGAUGUCCGCAGGAGCCCCACAAAUAUGCCUUGCAGGGCCAUGUCCCUAUCGCACCCCUUGCAAAAUAUGGGGCUCCUAAAAUAGGGGAGGGUUCUUGAAGGGCCGGGCUGUGGCGCAGAUGACUAGUAACCAGCAGCUAUAAAUCACUACUGAGUUCGAAGCCCGGGUUGGGUUAAGCCUCCGACCAUUCAUAGCCCCGGCUUGCUGUUGACCUAUGCAGCCCCGAAAGACAGUUGCACCUGUCAAGUAGGGAAAUUUAGGGACGCUUUAUGCGGGAGGCUAAUUUACAACACCAUAAAACUGCCAGCAAAACACGAGGAAAGGAAUGAGGAAGUACAGCCACUUCUGGACGGUGAAGCAACAGCUCCCCCUGUGGCCGGAAUCGUGAAGCUGGAAAAAUGUUAAAAAUGCCUCUGAGUCUGUCUAAUGUAUGUUGUUUGUCUGUUGGCAUUGAAUGUUUGCCGUAUAUGUGUUCAUUGUAAUCCGCCCUGAGUCCCCUUCGGGGUGAGAAAGAAGGACGGAAUAUAAAUACUGUAAAUAAAUAAAUAAAAAUAAAUUUCUCCCCUGCUUUGUGCCCUUCAUGGCUACUCAGUGCUACUCGUGCUUGCUAAUUGCAACACCCACAGGUAGGGAUCUAUCUAUGCACUCUGCUUGCUGGGCUACCUCUAUGCAGACGCCCUCCCUGAUUGACUUUGCAGCUGCAGAUCCCGGCAGUGGUGAGAGGAUCCUCCUUGUCCUUUGCUAAACGUAACAUCAACAAGGGUUCUUUCUUUCUCCCACCCGGGACGUUAUGUCAGAGUAAUUGCAGCGCAGCAGUAGUUGGAUGGAAUCAGUGGAACGCAGAACGAAGAGACACCCAGAGACGUUGGUAAAACUACCCUGUUUCCCCGAAAAUAAGACAUCCCCGAAAAAUAAGACCUAGUAGAAGUUUUGCUGGAUUGCUAAAUAUAAGGCCUCCCCCAAAAGUAAGACCUAGUAAAGUUUUUGUUUGGAAGCAUGCCUGCCAAACAGAAACCAUAGCAUGUAGGAUCAGUAAAUGUACAUACCAAUUGUACAUGGAAAUAAUGGUAGUAACAAGAAAUUAUUGAGAGGAAUUUGUUUGUUUAUGCUGGUUUGUGAUGACAACUACAGUACAGUAUAUAAUAAAUGUUCAUUUUUUGUUCAACAAUAAAUGUGAAUUCUUCUUCAUGGAAAAAUAAGACAUCCUCUGAAAAUAAGACCCAGCACAUCUUUGGGAGCAAAAAUUAAUAUAAGACACUGUCUUAUUUUCAGGGAAACACGGUAUAUAACAAAGUUUUACUAUAUGCAGCAAUAAUCAAGACAAACAGACUUGCAGACACAGGACACAGGACUCUCACUCUCAGCAGACAGCACUCAACGCAGAACAGAACUGAACUGAACUGAUGCAAUCAGUAAUACACACACACUUGUGUCUGGACACUCCCCAGUUCCAGCCACACAUCAAGGACACCACAACUUCUUAGCAAUUAACUCUUUCCAGACUAUAGUACACUUUGGAUGAUGCAAUCAGUAUGCAAUACUGGCAAGACACAAAUUGCAUUUAAACACUACCAAUACACAAAUCCCACAUUAACACGUUAUUCCACAGGCAUAUCUACACUCCACUUGCCUUGCUUCCAACAGAACCUCUGAAGAUGCAUUAGCCACAGACGCAGGCGAAACAUCAGGAGAGAAUGCUGCUGGAACCUGUUGGCCAUGCAUCCCAGAAAACUCACAGCAACCCGUCCCACUUCUGUCCCGACAGGCCAGCAAUUUCAUGGCAUCCGCACUGGAAUUCAUCUCUCUUGCGGCUUUCCUUUUCUUCCCUCUUUUUCAUGUUGCUGUAAUUGCAAAAUUUGGAACAAAAAUUAAGAAAACAAGGCUAAAGGCCCACUGGGUUCCACUGGCUUCCAUUAUAUACAAUGGCUGUGAAAUGGUGUUGCUUAUAUAAAAGGGCAAAAACAAGGUUUACUUCUGGGUAUUUUGGGGAAUAUUUGCAAGUUGUUGACGGAUGCAGAAUCUGUGGAUACGGGAGGCCAAUCUUAUAGCAAUUACAGGAGAGUCUCACUUAUCCAGCAUAAACGAGCCGCAGAACGUUGCAUAAGCGAAAAUGUUGGAUAAUAAGGAGAGAUUAAGGAAAAGCCUAUUAAAUGUCAAAUUAUGUUAUGAUGUUGCAAAUUAAGCACCAAAACAUCAUAUUUUACAACAAAUUGACAGAAAAAGCAGUUCAAUACACUGUAACUUUAUGUAGUAAAUACUGUAUUUACGAAUUUAGCACCAAAACGUUGCAUUGUAUUGAAAACAUUGACUAUAAAAACUUUGGUUACUAACAAAUUGACUACAAAUAAAGAUAGAUUUGCAUAAAAUGAACUUACAGUAACAACACUGUCGAAAAUUAAAUCCAUUAAAUCC
ensembl:lncRNA